rnacentral:rRNA from 1 species
GUCUACGGCCAUAUCACGUUGAAAUCACAGGUUCUCGUCCGAUCACCGAAGUUAAGCAACGUCGAGCCCGGUUAGUACUUGGAUGGGUGACCGCCUGGGAAUACCGGGUGCUGUAGGCU